GAAAGAGACCACUUAUCAACAUGGCGGCGGGAGAGGAAGUAAAUCGGUCCAUAUUUUCGCCAUUUUCCCCCCUUAUUAAGCACCUGGGGAGGCCGUGGAGGGAGCGACGCCCCCCUGGAUACUUGAAGCACCUGGAGGACACGUGACACACACCUGACAGCCACGGGGGAACAGCGGAGGUGGUGGCGGAGUGGUCGAUCAACUCAGGGCGAUGAACAUUGUGACCCAAGUUGGAAUCCCUCUGACGGGCGACUUUCCAUCCUUCACCGAGUUGCCACGAUCACACACACACGAGGUCAACAACCCUUCGCUUCCCUUCUAAGUGUUAAACUGCUCCUGAAGUGAGGCUGAUCGCUGGCUUGUAUCACCUCCUCCAUGGGCAAGACUUCUCCAGUACAAGCCAGUGUGGAGACAAGACUUAUUAGGCCAGUCCAGAGAGCUUGUUGAAGGCUUGUAUCACCACCACCAUGGGCAAGACUUCUCCCAGUACAGGGCGUCCCAACUGGAAGACUGCAUCACCACCAGCCUCUACAAGCCAUCCCAGAAGCUUAUUAGAGGGCUGGCUGCUGAAGGGCCCCACACACCACCAGGCCUGAAAUAAGGAAGUUUUUAAUGCCAAGACUGAAGGAUUAGGCACGGUGGAUUGGUUUAAACCAUGUUUUUUUUAAAUAAACCCUAUGUUUUU